AGCACUUGUGUAUGCUUUUGUAUCAUUUGUGGACAAAAACUUAUAGACAGGUACAAAAAUCCUCUUUUGCAACUGAGAGCUCCCUGUUCAGCAUCAAUUCUGAUACAGAUAAGAAGGAACAUG
ensembl:snoRNA